AUUACGCGGAGGCCCCACCUGUUCCCAUUCCGAACACAGCAGUUAAGCUCCGUAGUGCCGAAGAUACUUGGUUGGAGACGACCCGGGAAAAUAGGUAGGCGCCGG
rnacentral:rRNA from 1 species